UUGUUCAUGCAAAAGAAAGCUGAGCUUGCUCAGUUUCUCGAUCUACUCGAUCAUGUACAAUACAUGAUCGGUAAUAGAUGCUUCUUCCCUCAUUUGAGUAUUGAAAAUGAUGCAACUAGUCAUGUGCCAUUCAAUAUCAUCGAGAGUACCAAAGAAAUUUCUCAACACUUAGAAUAUUUUCUCUGACUGAGCCUCUUCAAAUUUUUGACUGAACUCAUCAUUCAUGGAGGCUCACAUAAUACAACGAACCAUUAUGCGGUCAUUGAGCCACUUCAAAUAAGUAUCUCGAACCAUGCCUCAGAUGUUGGGAA
rnacentral:lncRNA from 1 species